rnacentral:lncRNA from 1 species
GUUUAUUUUCCAUGUAUGAGUUUGAAUGUCCCUCUGGUAUCUUUCGUCCCUCUUUUUUUGUACAUUUAAUAACAAGGCUGUUGGUUUUCUGUUUGAAUUGUCUCAAAAUUUGUCAUUUGGUAGGGCCUUUUAUAGCUGAAUAUACAUAAGGGAAUUGCUAAUUGUUGAAGACUGUAAAGUGACCUACAUUUGUUUAUUUCUGUGUCAUUUGCUCUCUUGUGUAAAGUGUUUUCAUUGGCAAUCAUAUCACAUCUUCUUUUUUAAAAAUACCUGUGCAAACUGGAAAUAAACAGAAAUAUACAAUUAUUUUUCACCGUAGGUGUAGUGUGAACAUGUUGCCUUUUCCAAUGUUAGUCAAAAAGUCAACUGUUUACAGAACAAAACAUUUUUUUUCAUAAUUUUUCAUACCAAAAAAGUUGUGGUAAAUAUAAGUUGCUCAGUUGAUUAAGAGAAAAUGUUACUCUAUUUGUUUCUAAAGAAAAGUGUGGCACCAUGGUGACCAUACUGUGUCUAUGAUAUGCAAAAUUGUAAA